GGCCUGUCUGGACCUGCCCAUGCUCUGUGCCUCUUGUCUGUGUGACCCAUUCCUGCAUUACUUCUGAGGUCCUUGCCUGAAUGGCAGAACCCAAGGACUCACCCAUGGAAAGUUACUCCUAGACUGCAGAGAGAAAGCGCACAAGCAAGGGAGCGGCAGGCAGAGGGAGAAGCAGGCUUCCUCCUGAGCAAGGAGCCUGAUGUGGGACUCGACUUCAUCCCUAGGACCCUGGAAUCACGACCUGAGCUGAAAGCAUACAAUAAACCAACUGAGCCACCCUGAGCUGAAGACAGACACUUAACCGAUGGAGCCACCCAGGCAUCUCCUCUUCAUGGUUUUAAAAUGAACAAUGUGUUUGAGGCAGGUUUGGGGAAAGUUAUUUUACAGAAUGAGA
rnacentral:lncRNA from 1 species